rnacentral:misc_RNA from 1 species
AAGGAUCAUUACAAGUGAGGCUACCGAACGUUGGAAACAGCGGUUAGGAGCUUACACCCACCCGUGUUUACAUACUAUUGUUGCUUUGGCGGGCCGUGGCCUCCACUGCGGGCUCUGCUCGUGUGUGCCCGCCAGAGAACCAAACUCUGAAUGUUAGUGAUGUCUGAGUACUAUCUAAUAGUUAAAACUUUCAACAACGGAUCUCUUGGUUCUGGCAUCGAUGAAGAACGCAGCGAAAUGCGAUAAGUAAUGUGAAUUGCAGAAUUCAGUGAAUCAUCGAAUCUUUGAACGCACAUUGCGCCCUGUGGUAUUCCGCAGGGCAUGCCUGUUCGAGCGUCAUUUAACCACUCACGCCUAGCGUGGUAUUGGGGCACGCGGUCUCCGCGGCCCUCAAAAUUAGUGGCGGCGCCGGUGGGCUCUAAGCGUAGUACAUACUCCCGCUAUAGAGUUCCCCCGGUGGCUCGCCAGAACCCCCAAUUUUUACAGGUUGACCUCGGAUCAGGUAGGGAUACCCGCUGAACUUAA